rnacentral:rRNA from 1 species
UAAAGUGGCGUACGGGUGAGUAACACGUGGAUCAUCUACCUCUUGGUGGGGAAUAACCCUGGGAAACCGGGGCUAAUACCGCAUAAGCCUGCAAAGGGAAAGCAGCAAUGCGCCGAGAGAGGAGUCCGCGGCCGAUUAGCUUGUUGGUAGGGUAAUGGCCUACCAAGGCAAUGAUCGGUAGCCGGCCUGAGAGGGCACACGGCCACACUGGCACUGAAACACGGGCCAG